CAGUGACGUCUUAUAGAUUAUUU
rnacentral:piRNA from 1 species